rnacentral:rRNA from 1 species
CCUAACACAUGCAAGUCGAGCGGUAGCACAGGAGAGCUUGCUCUCUGGGUGACGAGCGGCGGACGGGUGAGUAAUGUCUGGGAAACUGCCCGAUGGAGGGGGAUAACUACUGGAAACGGUAGCUAAUACCGCAUAACGUCUUCGGACCAAAGAGGGGGACCUUCGGGCCUCUUGCCAUCGGAUGUGCCCAGAUGGGAUUAGCUAGUAGGUGGGGUAAUGGCUCACCUAGGCGACGAUCCCUAGCUGGUCUGAGAGGAUGACCAGCCACACUGGAACUGAGACACGGUCCAGACUCCUACGGGAGGCAGCAGUGGGGAAUAUUGCACAAUGGGCGCAAGCCUGAUGCAGCCAUGCCGCGUGUAUGAAGAAGGCCUUCGGGUUGUAAAGUACUUUCAGCGAGGAGGAAGGCGUUGUGGUUAAUAACCGCAGCGAUUGACGUUACUCGCAGAAGAAGCACCGGCUAACUCCGUGCCAGCAGCCGCGGUAAUACGGAGGGUGCAAGCGUUAAUCGGAAUUACUGGGCGUAAAGCGCACGCAGGCGGUCUGUCAAGUCGGAUGUGAAAUCCCCGGGCUCAACCUGGGAACUGCAUUCGAAACUGGCAGGCUAGAGUCUUGUAGAGGGGGGUAGAAUUCCAGGUGUAGCGGUGAAAUGCGUAGAGAUCUGGAGGAAUACCGGUGGCGAAGGCGGCCCCCUGGACA